GCAAGUGUAGCUCAGUUGGUAGAGCAUUCGCCUGAUACGCGAACGGUCCCAGGUUCGACCCCUGGCACUUGCACCA
rnacentral:tRNA from 1 species